rnacentral:rRNA from 1 species
UACGUAGGGGGCAAGCGUUGUCCGGAUUUAUUGGGCGUAAAGAGCGUGUAGGCGGCUAGAUAGGUCCGUUGUGAAAACUCGAGGCUCAACCUCGAGACGUCGAUGGAAACCAUCUGGCUAGAGUCCGGAAGAGGAGAGUGGAAUUCCUGGUGUAGCGGUGAAAUGCGCAGAUAUCAGGAAGAACACCCGUGGCGAAGGCGGCUCACUGGACCGGAACUGACGCUGAGGCGCGAAAGCGUGGGGAGCAAACAGG